CGUGAACGCUGGCGGUAGGCCUAACACACGCAAGUCGAACGGCAGCACAGUAAGAGCUUGCUCUUACGGGUGGCGAGUGGCGGACGGGUGAGGAAUACAUCGGAAUCUACUUUUUCGUGGGGGAUAACGUAGGGAAACUUACGCUAAUACCGCAUACGACCUACGGGUGAAAGCAGGGGAUCUUCGGACCUUGCGCGAUUGAAUGAGCCGAUGUCGGAUUAGCUAGUUGGCGGGGUAAAGGCCCACCAAGGCGACGAUCCGUAGCUGGUCUGAGAGGAUGAUCAGCCACACUGGAACUGAGACACGGUCCAGACUCCUACGGGAGGCAGCAGUGGGGAAUAUUGGACAAUGGGCGCAAGCCUGAUCCAGCCAUACCGCGUGGGUGAAGAAGGCCUUCGGGUUGUAAAGCCCUUUUGUUGGGAAAGAAAAGCAGCAGGUUAAUACCCCGCUGUUCUGACGGUACCCAAAGAAUAAGCACCGGCUAACUUCGUG
rnacentral:rRNA from 1 species